GGAUGGGCUCAUACUGGAGCGAAUCUGCCUGGUCUCGUUCCGAAUUGCGAAGCCAAGCUGUCUUGGGCCAGCUUAGUACUAGCAUGGGUGACCAACCAGGAACCGCUGGGUGAUGUAAUUG
rnacentral:rRNA from 1 species